AAAGCUGGGAGUGCAGUCCCUCUGCUUUGAUUACUGUGUCUCUUGGGUAGUGAUUUUGGAGGGGAAUCCCAGAGCGAUUUGGUUUGAAGGGGACCUUCAAAGGCCAGCCUGCCUUCCGUGGGCAGGGACACCUUCCCCUCUCAUCCCCGGUUGCUCCGAGUCCCAUCCAGCCUGGCCUGGAACACUUGCAGGGAUCCGGGGGCAGGCUCAGCUUCCCUGUGCAGUGUGCUCUAAUAUCUCUCCACUGGCAUCCUGAAAAAUGUUGUCAGUGUGUUUUGUUGGACGACGCUAGGCAGGACCUGGGUGAAAAGGACAUUCUCUGAGGUGCUGGGAGAAGGAGGACUCGUGCGGGCACCUCCAGAGACAGCGGGAACGGGAGCGUGCUGCGGAGAAGGAAAAUUCCAGGGGAAUUGCCACGAGAGGAAAUACUUCAGAGGGGCUUCCCUCCAGAGAAGCCCUGAAUGUGCCAGGAGGUUUCAGCCGGGAGGAAAGGAGCUGUGGAAGAAAAGCAGCCUAAAAAUAGCCAGCGGGGAUCAUCAGAUUUUCCAGCCAAGAAAAACCAGGAGGGAGAUGAGGGAAUCGGGUUCCAAUUCCUAAAGAUUUGGUGGGUGUAGGAAUGAUUUCUGUGUGUUUUCCAGUCCCUUUUGAUUCCUGGGAUGAUUUUAAAAUGAUGGCUAAAUUGGAGAUGUUGUUUUUGAGAGGAAAUGAUGCCAAAUAAAUGCAGAGUUUGGGGUCA